rnacentral:rRNA from 1 species
UGGCAACGGGGGGCUCCAUGCAGUGUGCGGAUGAGAGGAGCUUGCUCCUUGAUUUAGCGGCGGACGGGUGAGUAAUGCCUAGGAAUCUGCCUGGUAGUGGGGGAUAACGUUCCGAAAGGAACGCUAAUACCGCAUACGUCCUACGGGAGAAAGCAGGGGACCUUCGGGCCUUGCGCUAUCAGAUGAGCCUAGGUCGGAUUAGCUAGUUGGUGAGGUAAUGGCUCACCAAGGCGACGAUCCGUAACUGGUCUGAGAGGAUGAUCAGUCACACUGGAACUGAGACACGGUCCAGACUCCUACGGGAGGCAGCAGUGGGGAAUAUUGGACAAUGGGCGAAAGCCUGAUCCAGCCAUGCCGCGUGUGUGAAGAAGGUCUUCGGAUUGUAAAGCACUUUAAGUUGGGAGGAAGGGCAUUAACCUAAUACGUUAGUGUUUUGACGUUACCGACAGAAUAAGCACCGGCUAACUUCGUGCCAGCAGCCGCGGUAAUACGAAGGGUGCAAGCGUUAAUCGGAAUUACUGGGCGUAAAGCGCGCGUAGGUGGUUCGUUAAGUUGGAUGUGAAAGCCCCGGGCUCAACCUGGGAACUGCAUCCAAAACUGGCGAGCUAGAGUACGGUAGAGGGUGGUGGAAUUUCCUGUGUAGCGGUGAAAUGCGUAGAUAUAGGAAGGAACACCAGUGGCGAAGGCGACCACCUGGACUGAUACUGACACUGAGGUGCGAAAGCGUGGGGAGCAAACAGGAUUAGAUACCCUGGUAGUCCACGCCGUAAACGAUGUCAACUAGCCGUUGGGUUCCUUGAGAACUUAGUGGCGCAGCUAACGCAUUAAGUUGACCGCCUGGGGAGUACGGCCGCAAGGUUAAAACUCAAAUGAAUUGACGGGGGCCCGCACAAGCGGUGGAGCAUGUGGUUUAAUC